rnacentral:rRNA from 1 species
UACGUAGGGUGCAAGCGUUGUCCGGAAUUAUUGGGCGUAAAGAGCUCGUAGGCGGUUUGUCGCGUCGAAUGUGAAAACCCGGGGCUCAACCCCGGGCCUGCAUUCGAUACGGGCAGACUAGAGUUCGGUAGGGGAGUCUGGAAUUCCUGGUGUAGCGGUGAAAUGCGCAGAUAUCAGGAGGAACACCGGUGGCGAAGGCGGG